AGAAACCAUCUCCAGUCAAUCGAGCCCCUCGAUGAUCUCUCACAACGCACUUGCUCAAUUAUGUUGAAUUAAUUGUUCCGGUGAUGUGGAAAUAACACUAAGAAGCUAGUUUAUAUGGACUUAAUUGCUUUGUGAUUGAAGAAUAACGUACUGAUUUUCCACAGGGGGAAACGUGACAAAGGGAAGGCCUUCAGGUAUUGUUUUGGCAAGCUAGGAGAACACAUCUGACAGACAAAAAGGUUUCAUCAAAGACACACAGACAGCUCCUGAAGUAAAGGACCUACACAGGACCUUCAUAUCAAGGACAUUGACUGUGUGGAUCUCGAGGUGCAGUUACCCAAAAGUUGCUACCCACGGAAUACCAGGUUUUGAGGGAUCCUGCCAGAGCAGAGAAUCAACAGAUACAUUGAAGAGGAGACUCCGACAUGACCGCCGGCAUCUUGUGUUAUUCACCCCCACCACUUGUAAUACUGAAUGCCUGAAUUGUUGUUUGCUGCUCAGACUUUGUCAACAGAUAUGGUCUUCGACAUGUUACCCUUAGGUGUGGAAACAGAUUGUGACAGUCCAGCAAAAUGAGCCAGACAGAUAGUAACACUGAAAAAGGACAACGUUGUUCCCAUGGCCUCCCACUGCAGAAGACUACAGACGUUCAGUGAAGCACAAACAGCUGUUCCUCUUGUACUUAAUAAUUUAGUCAGCUGGAUUCUAGGUGCCACUAAGGAGCCAACAGUGGAUAAUUUUGUCAACAUUUCAAUGGCAUACAUUAAAAGGGCAGCCUGUAAUUGUUUGCCUUGCCUCCAUCUUCCUUGCCACCAAGGGGUUGUAGACUGAUGCCCUAGUCCUCCUGUUUAGGUACAACCAUGCAGUUAGGCCAGUCUAUUGAAGCAUAUACUUAUGACUGUUUGUAUGUGUUGUGUAUCUAGUAAUGGAUAAAUUACCACAUGAAUAACUGCAUAUUCAUUAUAUUGAUAAUUAUAAUGGCUUCCAUUAUUGAUUAAAAAGGGAUCUACCACCACUUGCAUUAUUGUUUUGUUAUAAAUGAAGCACUGUUAGGAAUCCAGGAA